rnacentral:rRNA from 1 species
UAACGGCGAGUGAACGGAGAGAAGCCCAGCGCUGAAUCAUUUGAUCCAAACGAUCGAAAUGAAAUGUAGCGUAUAGGUGUAAUUGUCCAAAUGUUUUGUGCACUCAAAGUCCCCUUGAGCGGGGCCACAGUCCACAGAAGGUGCUAGACCUGUACGGGUGACGAAACAUUUGGUUGAUUGCUCCUUGGAGUCGGGUUGCCUGAGAUCGCAGCUCAAAGUGGGUGGUAAACCUCAUCUAAGGCUAAAUAUGGCCACGAGACCGAUAGCAAACAAGUACCGUGAGGGAAAGUUGAAAAGAACUCUGAGAAGAGAGUUAAAGGAGGACGUGAAACCGCUGGGAUGGAAACGAAUAGAGUUGACGAAACUUACCGUCAUUCAACCGAUCAACUCAGCGGUCUCUUAUUUGAUACAAAAAUUGUACCACGAAUGUGCUCCACAUGCUUAUUUGUGUGUGCGUGUACAUUAAUGGACAAUAAUAGGAGGUGCUGUUGAGUGAACAAAAAUAGCCUGUGUGUGAUCGGUGCAUUUGAUGGUAGUAUGCGCCGAGAGCUGCGUUGUUGCUUUUAUGAUGUACGAUGAAACAUUUUUGUUCAAUUGAUAGUGGACCGGAUGAUUUUUUCAUUCGGAAACCUAUCAAAUGUGGAAGCGUAUCAUCAAUGCAGUUAUUGAUAUGCAACUUUCGCCGUGUUUUCAUUGUAUGGUGCGUUACAUAUGUGCUCAAUUUUAUACGGACAUAUUUAUGAUCGCGUGCGUAUCUGAUAUGUUUUGGUAUCGAAAUUGAGUGAUAUGUUUUGUAAAAUUUUUUUUUUUUUCCWUUWWUUYYUUWAAAGGAAAAAAAAAAAAAAAAAAGAAACGCGUUAAAGUUGCAUCUCGGUGUGAGCGUCAAUCACCUAUUCGACCCGUCUUGAAACACGGACCAAGGAGUCUAGCAUAUACGCAAGUUAUUGGGUGGUAAACCUUAAAAAACGCAAUGAAAGUGAACAUCGUCUUGAUACGAUUUUGAAUAUGUGAACCAUGCUUAUGUGUUUCAAAUGUGUGUCUAUGUGUAUGUAUGUAUGUAUGUGUGUUGUGUGUGUGUGUGUGUGUCUGUGUGUGAUGAUUCAUCAUUCUCACCAACACACAUACACCACAUUAUAUAUGUAUAUAUUUAUACACAUAAACAAACCAAAAGCAUAUAAUUACAUGGUGCAACAUAGCCCCGUUCUGAUUGCUUGCAAUAGGGCGGAGGUAGAGCGUAUACGCUGGGACCCGAAAGAUGGUGAACUAUGCCUGAGCAGGAUGAAGCCAGAGGAAACUCUGGUGGAGGUCCGAAGCGAUUCUGACGUGCAAAUCGAUCGUCUGACUUUGGUAUAGGGGCGAAAGACUAAUCGAACUAUCUAGUAGCUGGUUCCCUCUGAAGUUUCCCCCAGGAUAGCUGGAGCACAUCAAACAGCAGUUAUAUUCGGUAAAGCGAAUGAUUAGACGAAUUGGGGACGAAACGUCCUCAACCUAUUCUCAAACUUUCAAUGGGUAUGAAGUUUCGCUUUCUUAAAUUGAUUGAUUUUGAAUGAAGCGUGAACAUUGAAUGCGUGCUCCAAGUGGGCCAUUUUUGGUAAGCAGAACUGGCGCUGUGGGAUGAACCAAACGUCGAGAUAAAGUGCCAAACUUUUCGCUCAUGAGACCCCAUGAAAGGCGUUGGUUGAUAUAGACAGCAGGACGGUGGCCAUGGAAGUCGGAAGCCGCUAAGGAGUGUGUAACAACUCACCUGCCGAAUCAACUAGCCCUGAAAAUGGAUGGCGCUUGAGCGAGAGACUUAUACUCGACCGUUGCUAGGCUUGUGUACACAGGUGUAUGUCUGUGCAAUAAUUUUGUGUAAUUUUUGGUUUUGAAACACACAAUGUGAGCAGACCAAAAAAAAAAAAAAAAAAGGGAAAAUUGUGCGAGAGAAAAGGAAAAAAAAAAACAGAGUGUUACCUGGCCGCAACGAGUAAGAGGGUCGCAGUGGUUAGCGCUGAAAACUUUGGGCGUAGGCCCAGUUGGAGCUUCCACUGGUGCAGAUCUUGGUGGUAGUAGCAAAUAUUCAAGUGAGAUCCUUGAAGACUGAAGUGGAGAAGGGUUCCUCGUGAACAGCAGUUGGAUGCGGGUCAGUCGAUCCUAAGAUAUUGGCUAAUGCCUUGAUGUUCUAAAUGAGAGACGGAGAUCAAAUCCAUCUCGGCAAUCGAAAGGGAAACGGGUUUAUAUUCCCGUACCUGGACACGGAGAUUAAAUACUCAUAGCGGGUAUUUAGCGCGGUAACGCAAACGAACUCGGAGACGUUGAGCAGAGCCCGAGCCAGAGUUCUCUUUUCUGGUUAAGGAACGGACUCCCUGGAAGCGGUUCAGCCGGCGAUAGGGACGUUGUUUCCGUAAAGCGCCACGGUUCCUGUGGCGUCUCGUGCACUCUGCUUGACCCAUGAAAAUCCGAGGGAGGCAAUUUGAAUUUCGUGCCAGAUCGUACCGAUAUCCGCAGCAGGUCUCCAAGGUGAACAGCCUCUAGUCGAUAGAAUAAUGUAGGUAAGGGAAGUCGGCAAAUUAGAUCCGUAACUUCGGGAAAAGGAUUGGCUCUAAGGACUGGGUCGGUCGGGCUGCAGCGUGAAGUGAGUGCGGUUUGAUCCGUGCAGUGCUAAUGCAUAUUGGUUGCACAAAAUUUCUUGAUCUCUGGGAAGGAAGGAAUUUUUUAUCUCAAUCAUUCGCACACAUUAUUUGAUGAUUUGGUGCGCAUACUUUUCAAAUGUGUAUGUUACGUUUGUGAUGCGAAUGUCUCUAUAUGGGGAUAGAUUUGUUAUUGUUUUUUGGUAACCGAUUUAUCUCCCUCUAUACGUCAUUUCGCAUUAACAAAUUCGUGUCUACGCAUCAGUGUGUGUGUUCUCAUCAUUUUGUUGAAUGGUGUGUGUGUGGUGUUUAAAAUUGAGAUGAAAGCUCAUUGUUCUUUCUCUUCUUCGAGUGAAAAGGAAUGUGUCCAAUAGAUGUGUUUGGCUCGGCUAGUGUUUGAACUGUCUUAUGGACCACUGCAGCUGUGUAUUGGUUCACUUGGAAAAAUUGUCAUUUUUUUUUUUUGGUGCCAAUACUUCGUCCGGCGCUAAACAGUCAACUUAGAACUGGCACGGACUCGGGGAAUCCGACUGUCUAAUUAAAACAGAGGAGACAGAUGGUCCUUGCGGACGUUGACUGUCUCUGAUUUCUGCCCAGUGCUCUGAAUGUAAAAGUGAAGAAAUUCAACCAAGCGCGGGUAAACGGCGGGAGUAACUAUGACUCUCUUAAGGUAGCCAAAUGCCUCGUCGGAUAAUUACCGACGCGCAUGAAUGGAUUAUCGAGAUUCCCACUGUCCCUAUCUACUAUCUAGCGAAAUCACAGCCAAGGGAACGGGCUUGGUGCACACAGCGGGGAAAGAAGACCCUGUUGAGCUUGACUCUAGUCCGACUCUGUGAAGAGUCAUGAGAGGUGUAGCAUAAGUGGGAGGUCAUAGAUUCUUGCGAAAUAGAAUUUGGCCACCAGUGAAAUACCACUACUUUCAUCGAUUCUUUACUUAUUCGGUAAGGCGAGAAUUGAAUCGAACAAACGAUUUUCAUAAUUUCUGGUGUGAAGUGUGGCCGCUUGGUGGCCGCACGACUCGCGCCGAAGACAGUGUCAGGCGGGGAGUUUGACUGGGGCGGUACAUCUGUCAAAAGGUAACGCAGGUGUCCUAAGGCUAGCUCAGAGAGGACGGAAACCUCUCGUAGAGUAAAAGGGCAAAAGCUCGCUUGAUCUUGAUUUCCAGUACGAAUACAGACCGCGAAAGCGUGGCCUAUCGAUCCUUUUGAAUUUUCUUAGAAGGUCUCUAGCAAGAGGUGUCAGAAAAGUUACCACAGGGAUAACUGGCUUGUGGCAGCCAAGCGUCCAUAGCGACGUUGCUUUUUGAUCCUUCGAUGUCGGCUCUUCCUAUCAUUGCGAAGCAGAAUUCGCCAAGCGUUGGAUUGUUCACCCACCAAUAGGG